UGAGGAAUAUUGGUCAAUGGGCGAGAGCCUGAACCAGCCAAGUAGCGUGCAGGAUGACGGCCCUAUGGGUUGUAAACUGCUUUUAUGCGGGGAUAAAGUGCAUGACGUGUCAUGCAUUGCAGGUACCGCAUGAAUAAGGACCGGCUAAUUCCGUGCCAGCAGCCGCGGUAAUACGGAAGGUCCGGGCGUUAUCCGGAUUUAUUGGGUUUAAAGGGAGCGUAGGCCGCCAGGUAAGCGUGUUGUGAAAUGUACCGGCUCAACCGGUGAAUUGCAGCGCGAACUGUCUGGCUUGAGUGCACGGUAAGCAAGCGGAAUUAAUGGUGUAGCGGUGAAAUGCUUAGAUAUCAUGAAGAACUCCGAUUGCGAAGGCAGCUUGCUGCAGUGCGACUGACGCUGAUGCUCGAAGGUGCGGGUAUCAAACAGG
rnacentral:rRNA from 1 species